GAACCACUUCCCAGAGAUUCCCCGCGGCUCGCCCUCUCUCCUGCUUCCCUGCAACGUUGUACGCGGGCUCGGCCUCCGAGAGCGCCGGGCCCCUCACUGGCGCUGUCCCUCUUUCUGACUCUGGUUCUGGUCCCAGGGGACGUUCUCGGCUGCGUCAAACCCGCGUGAGACAAUCGCUCCUCCACAGCUGAAACCCGCGGAGGGCAGAGUCUCUGUGUCUAGAAUUGCUUCCUCGUCCGCUGUAGCCCCUCGGAGAGGAGGCGCUUGUCUUGAGUGGGUUUUAUUUUAAAGUAAGUAGAGAAAUGCUGAGGUUUGUUAUGCGUAAAGCGAUGUAAUUACAAGAUAGCCGUGGCACAGCACACAGGUAAGACCCCAGUGAGACAGGGAGGGCUAAUUGUGCUGGCGGAGUAGAAGAGCUGUUAAAAGAUUACCACUUGGAAGUUGGGUAAAGAGGAAUCACAUUCUGUCAGCAUGAGAUAAGGGUAAAACAACUCGUGAAUUACUACUCCCUUCUUAGUGUUUUUCUAGUCCUUUCCCCCUUUAUGGAAACCCUGGUGGCAUAGUGGUUAGGUGGUACGGCUGCUAACCAAAGGUUCGGCAGUUCGAAUCUGCCAGGGGCGUCUUGGAAACUAUGGGGCAGUUCUCCUCUGCCCUAUAGGGUCGCUGUGAGUCGGAAUUAACUGGAUGGCACUGGGUUUGGGUGUUGGUUUCCACCUUUACCGGCUUCACAUGUGCAGAACAAAGUGUGACCGCUGUUUUACUUUCUUUGGCCCUCCGAAGGGGGGUGCCAUGUAGUGCAGAAGAUCAGCACGCCUGUGCUAUAUUGCAUGAUAAGCGAUGUCAAGGGCUUCUGUGAGAACUCCAUCUUGAAUAUCAGGGGGUUUCAUUUUGGAUUCCAGAUGCUGGAGCAGCCUAAUUAGUAUGCACACCAUUCCAAAAAAACCCACUUCACAGAAACCCACUGAGUUUUUAUUGCUCUACUGUUCCCACCAAACGGAUAUAAGCUUUUGGAGUGGCAUGAGCCCCCACUGACUCUUUUUACUUAUCACAAGUAAAAAAAAAAAAAAAAUCUGCUAGAGCUGAACUCAAAAUUGUCUCCUUUGAGUAUUCUUACAAGAGAAAGACAAGAAGCCAUGGAGUUUGGAGGGCCUCUGUGACCUUGGUGGUAACAACAAGACAUUCAUUUAGACCAGAAGAAUUAGGGUAGGGUAAAGUUAGCCUAUAACGAAAGUCCAGAUCUUCAGUCAUCUAGCGUUUCACGCGUGGUCUUGAGCGGAAGUGGGGCCAGAGGCUGAUUGUUGUUGUCAUCAUCGGAGGUCCUCUGGAGCUGGGCUUGGUGGUGGGAAGAGCGUGCAGCGAUUACCUCAGUUUACUUCAGUCAUGUUCCUGAGAAGAACCAGUUACUGCUACUGCUGACCUCAAGGAGACAAGCACCUGAAAAUCAUCCAUACUCCCAAAUUGCCAGAGAAUGAAAGCAGAAGUGAUUCUUACAGAGAAGAAGGAAGCCUUCCUCUUGCCCCAUCCUUCAUGCUGGUUGGAACACAGACAUAAUGAUAAUUCAUCAUGGACCACGUGGACAAAUUUAACAUCCUAGGAAUGGCAAACCAGCAAGAUAGAAGAAACUGAGCAUUGGGCAGUUUGGUGAAACAGACCUUGAGUUUCUUGGAUGAAAGAUGUAAACUUGUGUUUUGCAAAAGCUACAAUUACUUUUGGUCCCAUCAGCAGGAGUUAUGGGAUGGACAGUUCUCUUCAGAAGAAGAUGUGUAUGGAAGCUACCACCAACCGAUGCGUCUGGAACGACAGCAAGUACCUUUCUUCCUUUUGCUAACCAUCCCCAUCACAGAAAUCCCUUCUCUUUUGCUAUUAAAUUAACGGCCAGUUCUCAGUUCUCAUCUCACUUGACCUGUCAACAGCAUUGAUAAAGCUGAUUAUUACCUCCUGGAAACACUCUCUGGUUUUCUUCCUACUUGACUGGUCACUCCUUCGUGGUCUACUUAGGUAGUUCUUCCCUCCAACUUCUAAACCAGUGGUUCUCCAACAGCAUGCUCAGAAUCAUCUGGAGAGCUUCUUAAACCACAUUGCUGGACUCCACCCCCAUUCAGGAGGUCUGGGGCUGGGCUGAGCAUUUGCAUUUCCUACUAGUUCCCCUGUGAUAGCUUAAACUGCUGAUCUGCGAACCAACUAAGUAUUAGAAUGCCCAGGGCUCAAGCCUUGGGCCUUUCCUUUUUCUGUCAACACUGACUCCCUGGAUGGUCUCAUUUAGCCUGAAAAAAAAGAUAUAAAUACCAUCCAAAUGUGGUCAACUCCCAAUUUUAUAUCUCCAGCCUGAGCAUCUCCCCUGAUCUCUAGACUUACAUAGACACCUGUCUCCUCAAUCUCCAUACUUGGAUGUUUAAUAAAUACCUCUAAUUUAGCCUGUUCAAAACUGAACUUCUGAUCUCCCUUUUCCCUCUUGCCAUAUCUCCUCCCACAUUUUCUUAUCUCACUAAAUGGCAUCUCCAUCCUUUUAGUUCUCAGUUCAAAAACCUUGGAAUCAUUCUCUCUAUGUCACUCCUUACAUCUGGUUCCUCAGUAAAUCCUGUUGGCUGUACCCUCAAAAUAUAUGCAGUAUCUGGCCGCUUACUACCACAUUUCUCGCUAUCCCUCUCACCCAAGUCUCUGUCGUCUUUUGCCUGGAUUACUGCAGAUGCCUCCUAACUGGUCGCAUUCCUUCUACACUUGCCCUGUACAUUGUAUUCUUAACACAGUGGCUCCCCCGUCUCAUGCAGAAUAAAAGCCAAAGUCCUUACAAUGGCCACAAAACCAGAACGACCAAACCUGUUGCUGUAGAGUCCAUCCAGACUUGGGGCAAUUCCAUGUGUUAAGAAGUAGAAGCUGAGCUCCACAGGGUGUUACUGACUAUAGUUUUUACAGAGGCAGAUUACCAGGCCUUUCUUCCAUGGUGCUGCCUGGUGGAUUUGAACUGCCUUUAGUUGUUAUUAGGUUCUGUCAGUUUCGACUCAUAGCAACCCCAUGUGACAGAGUAGAACUUCCCUGUAGGAUCUUCUAGGCUGUAAUUUUUAUAUAGGAGCAGAUAGCCAGGUUUUUCUCUCGUGAAGCCACUAGGUGGGUUCAAGCCACAAACCUUUCAGUUAACAGCUGAGCAGUUGACUAUGGCACCUCCAGGGCUCCUUUUCAGGUUAGUAGUCAGGUGCAAAUCUUCUGCACACCGAGGGACCAUUAUAGUGACCCACAGGGCCCUGCAUGAUGUCAUCUUCUAGUACUUUCCCCUUAUUGUUGUGCUGCAGCCACGCUGGCCUCCUUGCCAUUCUUCAGUCAAGCAAAGUAGGCUUUCACUAUGGUGUCUUCAUACUUGUUUCCUCUGCCUGGCUAUCCUUCCCCUAGAUAUCCAUAGGGUUUGCUCUCUCAGCUUCUUUAAGCUUUUGUUCCCUGUUUUUGUGAAGCAUUCUCUGACCAUAUUACUUUGUUUUUUUCCAUAGCAUUUAUCUUUCUAAUGUUGUAAUUUUUUGAGUGUCCCCCAACACAUACAGCAGAGUUUAAACUCCCUGAGGCAUGGAGUAUCUCCAGAGCGUUUCAUUGUACACAAAUGGUAAAUGUUCUUCUCUCUACUUUGUAGAGAAGAUAAAAAUGAGUGCCUGAAACUAAUAUGAUAUUCAUUACUGUUUUUGGCUUUCAUUUGUGUCCUUUGGGAAAACUUGGACUUUCUUCAUAACCCUUUUGAUUAUGUAGACUCUACUUUAGAAUAAUGUGGCCCAAACAUUAGUAACCCACUCAGCUACACAAAUUGGUGUCACGGAAUGGAGUUGGAACAUGUUGGUAUAAAAAUUACCUGGUACCCCAUGGAGUUCUUAUUGUCUCAAAAGGGUGGAUUCUCAAGUUUUUCUAAACUCUGGACUUCUUUUUCCUUCUGAUCUUUAUAUUUGCCACAAAGUCCUGUCAGGAAGCCUUCCUUGUCUGAGAAGCUCUAGUGUCAUGGAAGGCCAUCUGUUUUUAUGUGAAAGUAGAUGUUAACUGAGGAAGGAGUCUGUUAGUCACCCUGGCACAGGGCGAAACUUAAAAUGCGAGAAAGAAUGUGGUGGCAAACAGGUGGAGGCUUGGUGUGGACAUGAAACUGAACAGAAGAGAAAGGUGUUAAAAGUCUCAGGUAGAAGGAAAGGCAGACUUGAUACAGGGAAUCAGGCUUGGAGCGAAGUAAUAAAGGGGAGUAAAUCAGGCAUAUAUCUUGAAUCUAGUUUCACUUCUUUAGGGCCUCCGUACAGACUCUCACCACUUGCUCCAUCUCAGUUGCCAGAGGCUAGGAGCCCAUUCAGUGUAAUGAUUGUGACACCUGGAGCUAGACAGUUACUUGCCUGGCAGUGCCAGGCUCUUACCUUGCCUACCACAGGCCAAACAGCAGCACUAUCAAGUUUCUGGCCCCUCUCACCACUUACUGUCGUGUUGAAAUGACACACAUCUGGUUAGUGAGACCUGCUCAUAUAAAUCUCCUAUCAACUGUUCCAAGACGUGAUUUCACCACGUAGAUCGUCUAGAGACUUCUCGUAGAGCCGAGCAGAUGCACUUUGAAUAAUCUCUCUCUCUUCUCAGCUCAUGGUGAAGCAGUAGCCAAUGGGUGAUAUAUCAUCUUGCUUUUCUUCCUAUCCCUCCCUGCUUCUCUUCCCUCUUUCUUCACUCUUGAUGCCCUAGGUUUGUACCUUGUAAAGCACCAGUUCUUAAUCCUUGCCUCAUGCUCUGUUCCCUAGGGAAUUUCAGCUAAAACUAGGAAAGUGUCCUUCUAUGACCCCCUGGUUCCUGUAAUGACAGUGUUGUUUCAAGGGAGAACUGUGAGUCAUGAGCAGUGAUUUAUGGUGGAGACAGAAGUGAUGCUUAGGACCAGGUGAUGAAAGCAGACGCACAGGCUGCAGCCUGGAGCCACGCCACGGGGAGAACUUCCAGCAUCAGGAGUCCGGGGAAACAGAUGCCUCAAUGUCAGUGGUCAGAGCUUAAGGAAUCUCAAAUAUGUUCUUUAAUAUAAAGUAGCAGGAAUUUACAUGUAAAAUGUCUGACCAUGCAUCAGAAUGGAGGAAUCUCGCUGAUCUUAGAGUAGCUGUUGCAAAUAGCAGUCCAGGAAAACCACAGAAUGAAGCAAGAUGGCUGCUGAUGUCAAAAGUAACAACCGAGGUAGACUCCUAGAACCUGAUAAUUGUCAGACUUGCUCUGAUCUGGAAUUUUAUGUGGUAUUUGGAAGGCACAACCCUGAAAACCAAAGAAUUUGAAGGUGUCUGCGUUAUGGAAGUCUGUCUAGGUAGUUUCCAUUAAGCCAAGUGGUAUAGUGGCCUGCAUGCAUUUUGUCCAGACACAGGACAUUCAGGGUGGUUUUCAGCCUGUCCCUGGUUUUAAUUCAGUUGAGGAAAUUCUUACUCCAUUUUAUCAUUCUUAAAUUUCUCUAAUUUUGAACUCUAUCUAGAGGCUCCUGGGAGGAACCCCAAGGCUAAAGGCUCCUGAGAGGCACCUCAAGAUAAGAUAGAGUUGUUGUGCGAGGUCCGUUAACUUCUGUUUCUUCGUAACUAACCACUGAUAUGCUUUAGGCAACAUUUUCUUAGUAACGUUUUCCAGGCCAGAAGGCUGCACCUUGAGGACCAGCUCCAAGUGGCCACCCACGUUUACACAGAACCUGACCUCAGAACUUCCUUCCUUUGGGGCGGGGGAGCCCAUCAUUGUACCGGGAGCCCAUUUUGGAGCAAGAGGUCCAUCCACCACUAUAUCUGCCCAAGAUGACUCGGCAACUGGACUCCCAAAUUUGGACAGGGUAGGCGAAUUCCAAGAAUGGGCGGGUUAAGGGGGACUGAGAUGUUAGACCUGGAACCAUUCCCCCCAUAAAAGAUCCCCAGAUCCCCAGCUCGGGGAGCUUGCAGUCCUCUGGUCCCUAGACCCCACUUUGCUCCUUAUCUGCACAGAUAAUAAAUUUGCCACUUUCUGUUUCUGUUGCAACUGGUGUUCAGCUUACUUCAGUUGGCUGAUCGGACAGAACAAGAACCCAAGAGGCAUUUGGUUACAAUCUCACCAUGUAAUCUAUCAAAUAGAUUAAUUAAGUUUUUCAAAGAAGUUAGAUUUAUUGGUGAGAUUUUUCAAAGGAGUUCUAGAAAACUCCCACUUUCCAUUUGGGUAGAUGUUGAGGGGUUGAUAGGAAAGAAAUAGUGGGAGAGUGGGCAUCUUUGUUAGGAAAGCAGUAGACCUUUAGAUGAGGAACACCUUUCAGCCAAUAUCAUGCUGUUCUCUUCCAUCAAGAUACACCGUGUUCCUACUUUUCACACAGCCCUGAACAAAACAAAGAGACAAGUAGUAAACCUGGAGGAUUAUUAGGCAUCUUCAUGGCCAUGUUUACUAACAGUCAGGAGUACUUGUUGAUCUGACUCUGGGCAACAGGUUAGUCAAUUUCAAGUAAUGUGAUUUUAUGUGCGUGUGUGUACAAAAACCCAUUUAGGACAGAGUAAAACUGCCCUAUAGGGUUUCCAAGGAGUGGCGGGUGGAUUUGAACUGCCAGACUUUUGGUUAGCAGCUAAAUGCUUAACCACUGCACCACCAAGGCGCUCUCUGUCAUGCUCUCUAUAUAAGCAUACACAUAUAUACACGUAUAUAUAAUUCAUUCUCUGCAUACUAAAAGAUAGUUUGAGUAUGCAUAAAUUUUUAGUAAGAGUUGCAGAGAAGUUGGCAUAAAGAAAUCAGCUAUGAGAAAAAAAGACAUUUGAAGGGAUUGCGUUUCCUUAUGAAGGAUUUGCAAAGAAUAAUGCUGAGCUGUGAGAACAGGAAAAAGAAUAAAUAAAAGACUAAAAUGGAUAUCAGAAGAGACUCUGAAACUUGAUUUUGAGCACAAAGUAAAGAGAACAGAAGAAGUGAUGAAAAAAAGAGUUGAAUAAAAGAUUUCAUGGGACAGCUUGAGAAGACAAGGUAACAUAAUGAAAUGUGCAAAGACCCGGAGAUAGAAAACCAAUAAGGAAGAACAUGCUCAGCAUUUCUCAAGCUGAAAGAAUUGAAAAGAAAAUUCAAGCCUUGAGUUGCAAUAGUCAAAGGUACUACGGUCAAAAAAUUGACACAGGAGGCAGGGCUAUGAUGGCAGAGUAGUCAUACACUUCCAGUGAUCCCUCUUAUAACAAAGACCUGAAAAAAUGAGUGGAACGAUUCUAUAUAUGAUAAGCUAGGAGCCCUGAACAUCAAAGGCAAAGUUAGGAAAUCAGACUGAGCGGCAGGGAGAGGGAGAGAUGGUUCAAAAGCCACAAGGAGUUGGCUAGACCUGACUUGGCACGCCUCAGGCACAAUCCCCUGGAGCCAUGGCAGCUGGGCUGGCAGUAGCGUCUGGCACGUGGUUUCCUCAGGGAGGGACAGUGAGCCACACAGUCUACUCACGCCUCUGGAACCAGAGAAGAAGAGUGCUCUCAGCAAAAGCUAAGUACUUGCAUUUAUCUUACCAUGCCCCCAGCCCCCAAACUGGCUUCACUGGCUUUCGACUUCCCGGGGCCUGAGAUAGGUCUGCUGCGUGCCCUGAGCAGUUCUCCAGGCCUUGGAGAAGGAAUAAAUUAACAAUUGGGGGGAAAGAUAAUCUGCCUGCUCCACUAAGCUGGAGUGCUCAGGACAGAAGCAGUUUCUGCCCAGGCACAAACUGUCUUUGGAAUUAAAUACCUUUCACCCCUGCAUGGACCUGUGUGGGCCCAUUUCAGGAGAUUAGGCCCUUGUUAGCAGACUGCAAGAAUGUAUGUGCUUGACAUCUGACUUCAGCUGUUUCAGCUGUGCCGUGGAGAGGUGGGUUUUUGAUGUUUGACACUGCUUUGCCUAUUAAACAGGGUCCUCACCUACCCACAUCAGGGGACUGAGGACUGGUGGCUCCAUCCACAUCACCUAGCCACCCACAACAGAGGUCCAAGGAUGAGUGGCGCCUCUUCAGUCCUUACAGCUAAAGAUAUUGGGUACCCAUGGUCUGGCUGCAGAACCCACCCACCAGUGAGUUCUAGGGAACAGGGACACGUUUUCCUCACAGACACUUAGGAGAUGGUUGUCAGUCCCCUGCCUUGUUCAGAGUUUGACCCCCACCCCCGCUGCAACCAGAUACUUGUGCCUACACUAAUCACCCCUGCCCCUGUAAGACUGUAGAACAGAGCUGGUGCUACACACUUGAUGACCAACUACCUGGACACCUGAGCUGAAUCCAUACAAGAAAGUAAAUGGACUCCUAGCUCUUAUACCUGGUAACAGCUCUAGCCAUAUGGUGACAGGACGUUAGAGCUUCAAAGGUGAAAAUGAUCGAGCUAGCUCACUCAACCAGCCUAUUUGGGCAUAUCAAAACGAAACAAAGCAAGAAGCUAGGAUAAAAAAAAAAGGAUAGAGUAAGAAAACACAAAUUAAUACAGUAAUAUAGACAGCUUGGAAAAAACAGUCAAUAUUAAAUCACAUAAAGAAGCAGACCAUGUUUGCUUCAACAAGCUCUCAAAACAAAGAAUCAAGGAAUCUUCUGGAUGAAGGUGUAUUCCUGAAUUUAUCAGAUGUAGAAUACAAAAGAUUAAUACACAGAGCUCUUCAAGAGAUCAGGAAGGCAAUCAGGCAAAAGGCAGAACAAGGCAAGGAACACACAGGUAAGCAGUUGAAGAAAUUAAAGCGGUUAUUCAAGAACAAUGAAAGACAAUAGGAUGCAAGAGCCCAUAGAGAGACAACAAUUGCAAAUUCAGAAUAAAAAAAUUACAGAAUUAGACAACUCAAUAGAGACGAAUAAUUGAGGAACUGGAAGACAGAAUUAGUUGAGGUUGACGAUGAAACACUUGGAACCAAUAUACUCAAGCAAAAAUCAGAUGAAAGAAAUUUAAGACAUUAAGACACCCUAAGAAUCAUGUGGGACACUGUCAAGAGAAAUAACCUAUGAGUGAUUGGAGUACCAGAACAAGGAGGGAUAACAGAAAAUACAGAGAAAAUCGUUGAAGAUUUGUUGGCAGAAAACCUCCCUGAUAUUGUGAAAGAUGAGAAGAUAUCUAUCGAAGAUGCUCAUCUAACCCCACGUAAAGUAGAUCUCAAAAGAAAGUCACCAAGACGUGAUCAAACUUGCUACAACCAAAGAUAAAGAGAGAAUUUUAGGAGCAGCUAGGGAUAAAAGAAAAGUCACCUACAAAGGAGAGUCAAUAAGAAUAAGCUCGGACUACUCAGCAGAAACCAUGCAGGCAAGAAGGCAAUGGGAUUAUUUAUGUAAACCAUUGAAGGAAAAAAAUUGUGAGCCAAAAAUCAGAUGUCCAGCAAAACUGUCUCUCAAAUAUGAAGGCAAAAUUGGGACAUUUCCAGAUAAACAGAGGUUUAGGGAAUUUGUAAAAACUAGGCCAAAACUACAAGAAAUACAAAAGGGAGUUCUCUGGUUAGAAAAUCAGUAAUAUCAGAUACCAACUGAAGACUAGAACUCAGGACAGAACAACCAGAUGUCAACCCAGAUAGGGAAAUCACAAAAUAUCCAAGAUAAAAAAGUGCUCAAAACAGGGAAACAGCAAUGUCAUAUGUAAAAGAUAACAUUAAAACAAAGAGGGAUUAAAAAAACAUAGAUAUUUCAUAUGUAGAGGAAGUCAAGGCGAUAUAAAGAAAAGUUUGGUUUAAGCUUAGAAAAAUAGGGGUAAAUAUUAAGGUAACCAUAAAAAAAAAAACCAUAAAGGAGACUAAUAAUCCUACUCAUCAAAAUACAAGAAAAACAUACUCAGCAAAAAACAACGAACAACAAUGAAUAAGAGAAAAAGACAACAUAAACUACUCAGUACAAAACAUUAAGUGGGAAAAAGAAACUCAACAACGCACAAAAAAAAGACAUCAAAAUAACAGCACUACACUCAUAUCUAUCCAUAGUUGAGCUGAGUGUAAAUGGACUAAAUGCACCAAUAAAGAAAAAGUGGCAUAAUGGAUUAAAAAAAACAAUCCGUCUAUAUGCUGCUUACAAGAGACACAUCUUAGAGACACAAACAAAACUCAAAGGAUGGAAAAAAAUAUAUCAAGCAAACAACAAUCAAAAGAGCAGGAGUGCCAAUAUUAAUUUCUGACAAAAUAGACUUUUAAAUCUACCACAAAGGAUAAGGAAGAACACUAUAUAAUAAUUAAAGGGACAAUAUACCAGAAGGGUAUGACCAUAUGAAAUAUUUACACACCCAAUGUCAGGGCUUCAAGACACAUAAAACAAACUCUAACAGCAGUGAAAAGUGAGAUAGACAGCUCCACAAUUACAGUAGGAGACUUUAACACACCACUUUGGUGAAGAGCAGAACAUCCAGAAAGAAGAUUGAUAAAGACACGGAAGAUCUAAAUGCCACAAUCAACGAACUUGACCUCAUACACAUAAACAGAACACUCUACCCAACAGUAGACGAGUAUACUUUCUUUCCAGUGCACAUAGAACAUUCUCUAGAGUGUUGUUAGGUGCUGACAAGUCAGUUCCGACUCAUAGUAACCCUAUGCACAACAGAUUGAAACACUGCCCGGUCCUGCGCCAUCCUUACAGUCGUUAUUAUACUUGAGGUCAUUGUUGCAGCCACUGUGUCAUUCCACCUCGUUGAGGGUCUUCCUCUUUUCCGCUGACCCUGUACUCUGCCAAGCAUGAUGUCCUUCUCCAGGGACUGAUCCCUCCUGACAAUAUGUCCAAAGUAUGUAAUACGCAGUCUCGCCAUCCUUUCAUCUAAGGAGCAUUCUGGCCGCACUUCUUCCAAGACAGAUUUGUUCGUUCUUCCAGCAGUCCAUGCUAUAUUCAAUAUUCUUCACCAACGCCACAAUUCAAAGGCGUCAACUCUUCUUUGGUCUUCUUUAUUCAUUGGCCAGCUUUCACAUGCAUGUGAUGUGAUUGAAAAUACCAUGGCUUGGGUCAGGCACACCUUAGCCUUCAGUGUGACAUCUUUGCUCUUCAACACUUUGAAGAGGUCCUUUGCAGCAGAUUUGCCCAAUGCAACGCGCCUUUUAAUUUCUUGACUGCUGCUUCCAUGGCUGUUGAUUGUGGAUCCAAGUAAAAUUAAAACCUUGACAACUUCAGUCUUUUCUCCGUUUAUCAUGAUGUUGCUCAUUGGUCCAGUUGUGACGAUUUUUGUUUUCUUUAUGUUGAGGUCCAAUCCAUACUGAAGGCUGUGGUCUUUGAUCUUCAUUAGUAAGUGCUUCAAGUCCUCUUCACUUUCAGCAAGCAAGGUUGUGUCAUCUGCAUAACGCAGGUUGUUAAUGAGUUUUCCUCCAGUCCUGAUGCCCUGUUCUUCAUAUAGUCCAGCUUCUCCGGUUAUUUGUUCAGCAUACAGAUUAAAUAGGUAUGGUGAAAGAACACAACCCUGACGAACACCUUUCCUGGCUUUAAACCAAUCAGUAUCCCCUUCUUCUUUCCGAACAACUCCCUCUUGAUCGAUAUAAAGGUUCCUCACGAGCAUAAUUAAGUGUUCUGGAAUUCCCAUUCUUCACAGUGUUGUCCAUAGUUUGUUAUAGUCCACACAGUCCAAUGCCUUUGCAUAGUCAAUAAAACACAGGUAAACAUCUUUCUGGUAUUCUCUGCUUUCAGCCAGGAUCCAUCUGACAUCAGCAAUGAUAUCCCUGAUUCCACCUCCUCUUCUGAAACCAGCCUGAAUUUCUGGCAGUUCCCUGUUGAUACACUGCUGCAGCCGUUUUUGAAUGAUCUUCAGCAAAAUUUUGCUUGCGUGUGAUAUUAACGAUAUUGUUCUGUAAUUUCCACAUUUGGUUGGAUCACCUUUCUUGAGAAUAGGCAUAAACAUGGAUCUCUUCCAGUCAGUUGGCCAGGAAGCUCUCUUCCAUAUUUCUUGGCAUAGACGAGUGAGCACCUCCAGCGAUGCAUCUGUUUUUUGAAACAUCUCAAUUGAUAUUCCAUCAAUUCCUGGAGCCUUGUUUUUUGCCAGUGCCUUCAGAGCAGCUUGGACUUCUUCCUUCGGUACCAUUGGUUCCUGAUCAUAUGCCAUCCAUUGAAAUGGUUGAAUAUCAACUAAUUCUUUUUGGUAUAGUGACUCUGUGUAUUCCAUCUUCUUUUGAUGCUUCCUGAGUCGUUUAAUUUUUUCCCCAUGGAAUCCUUCACUAUUGCAACUUGAGGCUUGAAUUUUUUCUUCAGUUCUUUUAGCUUGAGAAACGCCAAGCGUGUUCUUCCCUUUUGGUUUUCCAUCUCCAGCUCUUUGCACAUAUCAUUAUAAUACUUUACUUUGUUUUCUUUUGAGGCCCUUUGAAAUCUUCAGUUCUUUUACUUCAUCAGUUCUUCCUUUUGCUUUAGCUGCUUGAUGCUCAAGAGCAAGUUUCAGUCUCCUCUGACAUCCAUCUUGGUCUUUUCUUUCUUC